rnacentral:rRNA from 1 species
CCCUUAGAUGUUCUGGGCCGCACGCGCGCUACACUGAUGCAUUCAACGAGUUUUUCCUGGUCCGAGAGGAAUGGGUAACCUUUUGAAAGUGCAUCGUGCUAGGGAUAGACUUUUGCAAUUUUUGGUCUUCAACGAGGAAUUCCUAGUAAACGCAAGUCAUCAACUUGCAUUGAUUACGUCCCUGCCCUUUGUACACACCGCCCGUCGCACCUACCGAUUGAAUGGUCCGGUGAAGCCUCCGGAUUGGCGCGCACCUCGGUGCCGCCGAGAAGUUGGCUAAACCUUACCAUUUAGAGGAAGGUGAAGUCGUAACA